GAGAAAGAAAGAAACACUGUCGUAUUUGUCAUUCUGAAUCACUAGCUUUCAAGAAAGUGGCGCUGGUUUCAAUAGCAAACUGAAAGUUUUGGCAGAAAUAAAAAAAAGAAUCAAUUGGUUUCUCCAAAGAGUUCAAAACUAUUCGAAACGGAUUAAUCCAGAACGAAAAUCUGAAAAAAAUACGUAAAUUUAUCAAAGUAUUGGACCAACGACAACAAAGCGUUUGACGGUGAUCGAACCAAAGCCAAACGAUCAUAUAACACUGAACAAUGCAUAGAAGAUUUGAGAACGAUUCAGGAAGCGUCUAGUGAUGGAAAAAACAAUUGGGCGAACGAAGACACUGUGGCUGUUGCUUACUUGAAAAGAGAGCAUGUAAAUGCUAAGGAAUGGAAUAUAG